UGGGAAACUGGCACACAGACCUGUGAUCUGAUUGACUGCGGACAUCUGCCCGCGUUGCCACGUGGUCAUUGGGUUGCAAAUGCAACAACUUUUGGGCAAAGAGCUAAACUCGCGUGCGAGGAAGGACGACAACCAAAGGGGAUAACAACCAUCACGUGUGGACUCAGUGGGAAAUGGAAUAACGGCACACACACAUGUGAUCUUGUCAACUGUGGUCCCCCACCAAGUGUAGCCAAUGGGCAGUGGACUGGCAGAGUUUACACCUGGGGUUCGGUGGUCAGACUGCGUUGUGACCCCGGAAGAACACUCGUCGGAAACCUCACAAUAAACUGCACAGCCCAAGGACAGUGGUCAAGUGAUGGGCAGACUUGUGUCGAUGUUGAUUGUGGAAACCUGACUUCGGUUUCGUAUGGACAGUGGAUCAGUAAUGGAACAACAUUCGGUCAUACGGCCUCAUUGAAGUGUGAGAGAGGGAGACAGCCAAGUGGUCACGGGAACGUCACGUGUGGACACAGAGGAACGUGGGAUGACGACAAACAGACUUGUG